CCUACGGGCGGCAGCAGUGGGGAAUAUUGGACAAUGGGGGCAACCCUGAUCCAGCCAUGCCGCGUGUGUGAAGAAGGCCCUCGGGUUGUAAAGCACUUUCAGUGAGGAAGAACGCCUGGUGGUUAAUACCCAUCAGGAAAGACAUCACUCACAGAAGAAGCACCGGCUAACUCCGUGCCAGCAGCCGCGGUAAUACGGAGGGUGCGAGCGUUAAUCGGAAUUACUGGGCGUAAAGCGCGCGUAGGUGGCUUGAUAAGCCGGUUGUGAAAGCCCCGGGCUCAACCUGGGAACGGCAUCCGGAACUGUCAAGCUAGAGUGCAGGAGAGGAAGGUAGAAUUCCCGGUGUAGCGGUGAAAUGCGUAGAGAUCGGGAGGAAUAACAGUGGCGAAGGCGGCCUUCUGGACUGACACUGACACUGAGGUGCGAAAGCGUGGGUAGCAAACAGGAUUAGAUACCCCGGUAGUC
rnacentral:rRNA from 1 species